CUCAACCGUCCAUCCUUUCAAAGGCAGUAAAUUGAAUACCCAGCACACUGUGGGAAGGGAGCCAUGUGUAGCCUGCAUGAUUAAACUAUAACCCCUCCCCCGAGAGAGCUUUAAGCACUUUGGGGAGGUAUAUAAGCAGUACACUUUGCCUUGUUUUGUUUGUUGAUGAAGCUGUUGUAACAAAUGAGUCAUAGGCUCUCUGUUUCUGGUCUUGGCAAAUGGACUAAGCUAUCUGGACCAGCUAAAAUUUCUAGACACUUUCAGAGGGCAUUCUCAGAUACCGCAUAGUAAUCCAAAUGGGAGGUGACUAAGAUGUGUGUGUCUGUAUCCAGAUCAGACAUCUCUAGGAGUUUAUUUGUUUCAGAGCAGUUUUACCCACUGGUAAGAUAAAUUACUGCUUUUCACAAGUGGAUGAAAAGUUGACUUUCCACACUAUUGAUGGAGGGGGGAUUUUUUUGUUUAGAUCUUACUGUCUUCUAUCUAUGUGGUUUUCUUAGUUUAUUCUAUAUUUUUGAAGGAGUUUAAAUUGUCAUAGGUAGUGACUUAAUCAGCUCUCCCUAUUAUUAUUUUUUGCUUUAUUUUUAAAGGUUUUGGCAACUGGGACCUCCACUUCUUUUUAGACUGCCUCCCCUACUCACAGUUCCUUACCCCUGGUUGUAUUUGCUCAGACUGGUGAAAAUUAUAGUUAGUUGAAGCUGUUUUAAGUAACGUAAAUAUGCUUUUCAGGCUAAAAAUAUCAAAAUGAUUGCAAAAUGCAAACUUAAAUGAAAAUGUGCCAUAGUGCUUUGCUCUUUUAAUGCAAUAAUAUAUUUUCUUUAAAGCAUCAUUAUAGCAGUAUGGCACUCUAAAUGUUAUAAUGAUAAUUUUGAGAACCUUCUUAGUUGUGACAAAGCCUCUAUUAAAUACCCUUCUCAUCUCUGGAGCAUGCAAAUGUUUGUUUAUUUAUGGUACUUAUUUAUGUAUUUCUUUCCUUCCUUCCUUCCUUCCUUCCUACCUCUAUCAGAAUAUUCCGGGUGAUGUGGCAAAUACAUAUGUUGAGGGUAGGGAACUCUGAAAGCAGGAAUAAAAUAAAAUAAAAUAAAGCA
rnacentral:lncRNA from 1 species